ACGGAGGGUGCAAGCGUUAAUCGGAAUCACUGGGCGUAAAGCGCACGUAGGCUGUUAUGUAAGUCAGGGGUGAAAUCCCACGGCUCAACCGUGGAACUGCCCUUGAUACUGCACGACUUGAAUCCGGGAGAGGGUGGCGGAAUUCCAGGUGUAGGAGUGGAAUCCGUAGAUAUCUGGAGGAACAUCAGUGGCGAAGGCGGCCACCUGGACCGGUAUUGACGCUGAGGUGCGAAAGCGUGGGGAGCAAACAG
rnacentral:rRNA from 1 species